rnacentral:rRNA from 1 species
GGCUCAGGACGAACGCUGGCGGCGUGCCUAACACAUGCAAGUCGAGCGGAGAUAUACUUGAUGAGAGCUUCGGCAGGAUUCGGGUAUAUUUAGCGGCGGACGGGUGAGUAACGCGUGAGCAAUCUGUCUCAGACAGGGGGAUAACGCAGCGAAAGUUGCACUAAUACCGCAUGAGACCACAGCAUCGCAUGGUGCAGGGGUCAAAGGAGCAAUCCGGUCUGAGGUGAGCUCGCGUCCUAUUAGGUAGUUGGUGAGGUAACGGCCCACCAAGCCUGCGAUAGGUAGCCGACCUGAGAGGGUGAUCGGCCACACUGGAACUGAGACACGGUCCAGACUCCUACGGGAGGCAGCAGUGGGGAAUAUUGGGCAAUGGGGGAAACCCUGACCCAAGCAACGCCGCGUGAGUGAAGAAGGUCUUCGGAUUGUAAAUCUCUGUCCUAAGAGAAGAGGGGAAGACGGUAUCUUAGGAGGAAGCCCCGGCUAACUACGUGCCAGCAGCAGC